rnacentral:rRNA from 1 species
UACGUAGGGUGCGAGCGUUGUCCGGAAUUAUUGGGCGUAAAGAGCUCGUAGGCGGUGUGUCGCGUCGGCCGUGAAAACCUGCAGCUUAACUGUGGGCUUGCGGUCGAUACGGGCAUCACUGGAGUUCGGCAGGGGAGACUGGAAUUCCUGGUGUAGCGGUGAAAUGCGCAGAUAUCAGGAAGAACACCCGUGGCUAAGGCGGCUCUCUAGUACGGAACUGACGCUGAGGAGCGAAAGCCAGGGGAGCAAACGGG